GACGAACGCUGGCGGCGUGCUUAACACAUGCAAGUCGAGCGGUAAGGCCCUUUCGGGGGUACGACGAGCGGCGAACGGGUGAGUAACACGUGGGUGACCUGCCCUCAGCUCUGGGAUAAGCCUGGGAAACUAGGGUCUAAUACUGGAUAUGACUCCACGGUGCAUGUCGUGGGGUGGAAAGCCUUGUGCGGCUGAGGAUGGGCCCGCGGCCUAUCAGCUUGUU
rnacentral:rRNA from 1 species